rnacentral:rRNA from 1 species
AACGUAGGAGGCAAGCGUUAUCCGGAUUUACUGGGCGUAAAGCGCGUGCAGGCGGCACGGCAAGUUGGAUGUGAAAGCUCCCGGCUCAACUGGGAGAGGUCGUUCAAGACUGCCGAGCUCGAGGCUGGUAGAGGGAGGUGGAAUUCCGGGUGUAGUGGUGAAAUGCGCAGAGAUCGGGAGGAACACCCGUAGCGAAGGCGGCGCUCUGGGCCGGUACUGACGCUGAGGAGCGAAAGCGUGGGGAGCAAACAGG